GGUUAAGUGACUAAGCGUACACGGUGGAUGCCUAGGCAGUCAGAGGCGAUGAAGGGCGUGCUAAUCUGCGAAAAGCGUCGGUAAGGUGAUAUGAACCGUUACAACCGGCGAUACCCGAAUGGGGAAACCCAGUGUGUUUCGACACACUAUCAUGUCAUGAAUACAUAGUGGCAUGAGGCGAACCGGGGGAACUGAAACAUCUAAGUACCCCGAGGAAAAGAAAUCAACCGAGAUUCCCCCAGUAGCGGCGAGCGAACGGGGAGGAGCCCAGAACCUGAAUCGGCUUGUGUGUUAGUGGAAGCGUCUGGAAAGUCGCGCAGCAAAGGGUGAUAGCCCCGUACACUAAAAUGCACAGGUCGUGAGUUCGAUGAGUAGGGCGGGACACGUGACAUCCUGUCUGAAUAUGGGGGGACCAUCCUCCAAGGCUAAAUACUCCUGACUGACCGAUAGUGAACCAGUACCGUGAGGGAAAGGCGAAAAGAACCCCGGCGAGGGAGUGAAAUAGAACCUGAAACCGUGUACGUACAAGCAGUGGGAGCACCUUCGUGGUGUGACUGCGUACCUUUUGUAUAAUGGGUCAGCGACUUAUAUUUUGUAGCAAGGUUAACCGUAUAGGGGAGCCGUAGGGAAACCGAGUCUUAACUGGGCGAAUAGUUGCAAGGUAUAGACCCGAAACCCGGUGAUCUAGCCAUGGGCAGGUUGAAGGUUGGGUAACACUAACUGGAGGACCGAACCGACUAAUGUUGAAAAAUUAGCGGAUGACUUGUGGCUGGGGGUGAAAGGCCAAUCAAACCGGGAGAUAGCUGGUUCUCCCCGAAAGCUAUUUAGGUAGCGCCUCGUGAACUCAUCUUCGGGGGUAGAGCACUGUUUCGGCUAGGGGGCCAUCCCGGCUUACCAAACCGAUGCAAACUCCGAAUACCGAAGAAUGUUAUCACGGGAGACACACGGCGGGUGCUAACGUCCGUCGUGAAGAGGGAAACAACCCAGACCGCCAGCUAAGGUCCCAAAGUCAUGGUUAAGUGGGAAACGAUGUGGGAAGGCAUAGACAGCCAGGAUGUUGGCUUAGAAGCAGCCAUCAUUUAAAGAAAGCGUAAUAGCUCACUGGUCGAGUCGGCCUGCGCGGAAGAUGUAACGGGGCUAAACCAUGCACCGAAGCUGCGGCAGCGACGUUUAGGCGUUGUUGGGUAGGGGAGCGUUCUGUAAGCCGUUGAAGGUGGCCUGUGAGGGUUGCUGGAGGUAUCAGAAGUGCGAAUGCUGACAUAAGUAACGAUAAAGCGGGUGAAAAGCCCGCUCGCCGGAAGACCAAGGGUUCCUGUCCAACGUUAAUCGGGGCAGGGUGAGUCGACCCCUAAGGCGAGGCUGAAAAGCGUAGUCGAUGGGAAACAGGUUAAUAUUCCUGUACUUGGUGUUACUGCGAAGGGGGGACGGAGAAGGCUAGGCUAGCCGGGCGACGGUUGUCCCGGUUUAAGCGUGUAGGGGGUGUGACCUGGUAAAUCCGGUUGCAUAUCAACCCUGAGGCGUGAUGACGAUGCACUACGGUGCAGAAGUAGUUGAUGCCCUGCUUCCAGGAAAAGCCUCUAAGCUCUAGGUAACAUUAAAUCGUACCCCAAACCGACACAGGUGGUCAGGUAGAGAAUACCAAGGCGCUUGAGAGAACUCGGGUGAAGGAACUAGGCAAAAUGGUGCCGUAACUUCGGGAGAAGGCACGCUGGCAUGUAGGUGAAGUCCUUCGCGGAUGGAGCUGAAGCCAGUCGAAGAUACCAGCUGGCUGCAACUGUUUAAUAAAAACACAGCACUGUGCAAACACGAAAGUGGACGUAUACGGUGUGACGCCUGCCCGGUGCUGGAAGGUUAAUUGAUGGGGUCAGCCGCAAGGCGAAGCUCUUGAUCGAAGCCCCAGUAAACGGCGGCCGUAACUAUAACGGUCCUAAGGUAGCGAAAUUCCUUGUCGGGUAAGUUCCGACCUGCACGAAUGGCGUAAUGAUGGCCAGGCUGUCUCCACCCGAGACUCAGUGAAAUUGAACUCGCUGUGAAGAUGCAGUGUACCCGCGGCAAGACGGAAAGACCCCGUGAACCUUUACUAUAGCUUGACACUGAACAUUGAGCCUUGAUGUGUAGGAUAGGUGGGAGGCUUUGAAGCGUGGACGCCAGUCUGCGUGGAGCCAUCCUUGAAAUACCACCCUUUAAUGUUUGAUGUUCUAACUCGGCCCCAUAAUCUGGGGUGAGGACAGUGUCUGGUGGGUAGUUUGACUGGGGCGGUCUCCUCCCAAAGAGUAACGGAGGAGCACGAAGGUUAGCUAAUCACGGUCGGACAUCGUGAGGUUAGUGCAAAGGCAUAAGCUAGCUUGACUGCGAGAGUGACGGCUCGAGCAGGUACGAAAGUAGGUCUUAGUGAUCCGGUGGUUCUGAAUGGAAGGGCCAUCGCUCAACGGAUAAAAGGUACUCCGGGGAUAACAGGCUGAUACCGCCCAAGAGUUCAUAUCGACGGCGGUGUUUGGCACCUCGAUGUCGGCUCAUCACAUCCUGGGGCUGAAGUAGGUCCCAAGGGUAUGGCUGUUCGCCAUUUAAAGUGGUACGCGAGCUGGGUUUAGAACGUCGUGAGACAGUUCGGUCCCUAUCUGCCGUGGGCGUUGGAAGAUUGAGAGGGGUUGCUCCUAGUACGAGAGGACCGGAGUGAACGCACCACUGGUGUUCGGGUUGUCAUGCCAAUGGCAUUGCCCGGUAGCUAAGUGCGGAAAAGAUAAGCGCUGAAAGCAUCUAAGCGCGAAACUUGCCUCAAGAUGAGUCUUCCCUGGGCCUUUAAGGCCCCUGAAGGAACGUUUAAGACUAAGACGUUGAUAGGCUGGGUGUGUAAGUGCAGCGAUGCAUUGAGCUAACCAGUACUAAUGAUCCGUGAGGCUUAACCUU
rnacentral:rRNA from 1 species